rnacentral:rRNA from 1 species
GUUCGGUCCCUAUCUGUGGUGGGCGCAGGAGAUUUGAGGGGGCUUGCCCUUAGUACGAGAGGACCGGGGUGAACGAACCUCUUGUGAUUCAGUUGUCACACCCGUGGCACAGCUGAGUAGCGAAGUUCGGUCAGGAUAAGUGCUGAACGCAUAUAAGUACGAAACCUUCCCCAAGAUGAGAUCUCCCCGAAGAGCCGUGAUAGACGAUCACGUUGAUAGGACGGAUGUGUAAGCAGAGUAAUCUGUUGAGCUGACCGUUACUAAUAGCUCGUUCGGCUUGACCAU